GACGAAUGCUGGCUGCGUGCUUAACACAUGCAAGUCGAACGGUGAAAGGGAGCUUGCUCCCUGGAUCAGUGGCAAACGGGUGAGUAACACGUGAGCAAUCUGCCCUGGACUCUGGGAUAAGCGUUGGAAACGACGUCUAAUACCGGAUACGAGGCGUGGGGGCAUCCCCAACGCCUGGAAAGAACUUCGGUCCAGGAUGAGCUCGCGGCCUAUCAGGUAGUUGGUGAGGUAAUGGCUCACCAAGCCUACGACGGGUAGCCGGCCUGAGAGGGUGACCGGCCACACUGGGACUGAGACACGGCCCAGACUCCUACGGGAGGCAGCAGUGGGGAAUAUUGCACAAUGGGCGAAAGCCUGAUGCAGCAACGCCGCGUGAGGGACGACGGCCUUCGGGUUGUAAACCUCUUUUAGCAGGGAAGAAGCGAAAGUGACGGUACCUGCAGAAAAAGCACCGGCUAACUACGUGCCAGCCGCCGCAGUAAUAC
rnacentral:rRNA from 1 species